GAUGAAGAACGUAGCGAAGUGCGAUAAGUAGUGUGAAUUGCAGAAUUUCGUGAAUCAUCGAAUCUUUGAACGCAAAUUGCACUCUCCGGUUUUCCGGGAGAGUAUGCCUGUUUGAGGGUCAGCCUAAAUAAAUUCGGCUUCGUUACUGUAUUUCGGUAAUGUUUUGUCGGAAUUUGGGUCAUCUUAAAUCGAAAGGUCUAAGCGACUUAAAAAUUUUUUUUUACGAUCCCACGAACGUUUCUAAGAUCUUCUUUACACGUUCAAGGUAUCGAAUACCCCAUUAGACGUGGCCGUCGUAUCGGAUCGCGUCCAUAAUAUUUAUUCUUUAACUGACCUCAGACAGGUAAGAGUACCCGCUGAACUUAAGCAUAUCAAUAAGCGGAGGA
rnacentral:misc_RNA from 1 species